rnacentral:misc_RNA from 1 species
GUCGCAUCCACUUAUUACCGACAAGGCAUUCGUAAGCAAUGGCUUAACAUAACCAUUCUUUAACAACGCUCCCUUUGGCUAUAAAACAGCCUAUGUUCUUUCUAUCAAUUCUCAUAGGGCUUCUUGUUCGAACCAUGAUCUCUUUGACCAUCUGCUUAACUGGAGAUUCCCCUCUAAUAGAACUAUGUUUCCCUGAACCACAAACUACUGUAACGUCCGCUGGAAUCACAUAAUUUCCACUAUUCAAUCUCUUUCUCAUCUCUUCAAUCCACAUUAACAUUAUCAAAUAAGCUGAACACAAGUGCAUUCCAUGCAAAUCCAAUUUAGCCUCUAAUGCAUUCCACUUCAUUGUCUCCUUCAAAACUGAAUAUCCAACCAAUGAUUCAACCACCAUGGCCUCAUCUUCACUCAAAAUCUUUAUCAG